AUUGAACGCUGGCGGCAUGCCUUACACAUGCAAGUCGAACGGCAGCACGGGUGCAAUCCUGGUGGCGAGUGGCGAACGGGUGAGUAAAGUAUCGGAACGUGCCCAGUCGUGGGGGAUAACGUAGCGAAAGUUACGCUAAUACCGCAUACGAUCUAUGGAUGAAAGCGGGGGAUCGCAAGACCUCGCGCGAUUGGAGCGACCGAUAUCAGAUUAGGUAGUUGGUGGGGUAAAGGCUCACCAAGCCGACGAUCUGUAGCUGGUCUGAGAGGACGACCAGCCAAACUGGGACUGAGACACGGCCCAGACUCCUACGGGAGGCAGCAGUGGGGAAUUUUGGACAAUGCGCGAAAGCCUGAUCCAGCCAUGCCUCGUGCAGGAUGAAGGCCUUCGGGUUGUAAACUGCUUUUGUACGGAACGAAAAGGUUUGGGCUAUAAGCUGAGCUCAUGACGGUACCGUAAGAAUAAGCACCGGCUAACUACGUGCCAGCAGCCGCGGUAA
rnacentral:rRNA from 1 species